rnacentral:rRNA from 1 species
UACAGAGGGUGCAAGCGUUAAUCGGAGUUACUGGGCGUAAAGGGCGCGUAGGCGGUUAAUUAAGUGAGAUGUGAAAUCCCUGGGCUUAACCUAGGAACUGCAUCUCAAACUGAUUGACUGGAGUAUUGUAGAGGGUAGUGGAAUUUCCGGUGUAGCGGUGAAAUGCGUAGAGAUCGGAAGGAACACCAGUGGCGAAGGCGGCUACCUGGACAAAUACUGACGCUGAGGCGCGAGAGCGUGGGGAGCAAACAGG